UGUGAACAUACCUAUUUGUUGCCUCGGCGGUGCCUGUUCCGACAGCCCGCCAGAGGACCCCAAACCCUGAUUACAUUUAAGAAGUCUUCUGAGUAAACCGAUUAAAUAAAUCAAAACUUUCAACAACGGAUCUCUUGGUUCUGGCAUCGAUGAAGAACGCAGCGAAAUGCGAUAAGUAAUGUGAAUUGCAGAAUUCAGUGAAUCAUCGAAUCUUUGAACGCACAUUGCGCCCGCUAGUAUUCUGGCGGGCAUGCCUGUCCGAGCGUCAUUUCAACCCUCAAGCCCCCGGGCUUGGUGUUGGGGAUCGGCGAGCCUCCGCGCCCGCCGUCCCCUAAAUCUAGUGGCGGUCUCGCUGUAGCUUCCUCUGCGUAGUAGCACACCUCGCACUGGGAAACAGCGCGGCCACGCCGUUAAACCCCCAACUUCUGAACGUUUGACCUCGGAUCAGGUAGGAAUACCCGCUGAACUUAAGCAUAUCAAUAAGCGGAGGAA
rnacentral:rRNA from 1 species